AUUCCAAAACUUUGAUCUCGUGGAUGGGAAAGAAAUAAAACUCAGUGCCCCCCUUCUCUCUCUCUCUUCUAUUUCUUCCCCCAAUUUUCUAUCUGCUCUUUCAAAAUUUUCAAAGAAAGAGUGAUCGAAGGAAGGAAUCCUCAUUGAUGGCCAUCACGAAUAUGAUUGUCUCCAUCUAAGAUCUCCGCCCCACGUCGCUUUUCGAACAUCACGAUGACGGAUGGCGUGCAAGGUCGGUGCCCCUUCUUGUCCCUCUCGGGCGACGGCCAUCCGAUGGCGUUCACAGUGGCAAACAUCGGGAUGAUGGACAGCAUGUACGUUGUUGGGAGGAAUGAGAUCUUAUCUUGGAUCAACACCACGCUCUAGCUUGGCCUCACCGAGGUGGAGGAGGUACUUGCUGUCGAUUAUUGGAGACCUUCUUUGCUUCUUCUAGGGUUUAUUUCAAUGACUUAGUGACCUUUUUUUUAUUGUUUUCUCUCUGGGAUCUGGUGUCGGAUAAGUUCAUUGAGUUUUUUUUUUUUUGCUUGAAAUGGGUUUAAAAGAAUCGAUUAUAGACCAGAUUCUGGCAAGAUAACACU